GACGAACGCUGGCGGCGUGGAUUAGGCAUGCAAGUCGAACGGUAUCAUCCUUUCGGGGGUGAGAGAGUGGCGAACUGGUGAGUAACACGUAGGUUAUCUACCCUCAAGACGGGGACAACCCAGGGAAACUUGGGCUAAUACCGGAUGUGAGCAACUUUUAGUUGUUUGAAAGGUGGCGUAAGCUGUCGCUUGGGGAUGAGCCUGCGUCCUAUUAGUUAGUUGGUGAGGUAACGGCUCACCUAGGCAAUGAUAGGUAGGCGGCCUUAACGGGUGGUCGCCCACACUGGGAUUGAGAUACGGCCCAGACUCCUACGGGAGGCAGCAGUCGAGAAUAGUCUACAAUGGUCGGAAGACUGAUAGUGCGACGCCGCGUGAACGAUGAAUCCCUUCGGGGUUAAAGUUCUUUUAUAUGUGAGCAGUGCUUCUUAUAUUAACAGUAUGGGGAAGAGAUAUUAGCAUAUGAAUAAGCAACGGCUAACUCCGUGCCAGCAGCCGACGGUAAUA
rnacentral:rRNA from 1 species